rnacentral:rRNA from 1 species
UACGUAGGGGGCAAGCGUUUGUCCGGAAUCAUUGGGGCGUAAAAGAGCGUGUAGGCGGCUUGGUAGGUCCGCUGUGAAAACUCGAGGCUCAACCUCGAGAUGUCGGCGGAAACCACUUGGCUAGAGUCCGGAAGAGGAGAGUGGAAUUCCCGGUGUAGCGGUGAAAUGCGCAGAUAUCGGGAAGAACACCUAUGGCGAAGGCAGCUCUCUGGGACGGUACUGACGCUGAGACGCGAAAGCGUGGGGAGCGAACAGG